GCCGAGUUGGGUAACAUCAACUUGUAACCCAAGUGGGGGCAUUAAGGUGAUGGAACAGAUCCAUAACUUUGAUGGGUUGGAUUGGUUGAUGCAACAUUGUUGGCUUGCCCACUCCAAGUUGAGAGUUGAGUCAUGGGUUCUAUGCUAAAGCAUAAGACUCAUGGUUCCUGGACUGGAGGGCACCGCGUGAGGCUGGUUUCACAGAGCAGCGAUCACCUCCGGCUCUCAACAGUGGAGGGACAACAGGCUUACUGCAUUACCAGUCCACUAUGGCCCAUUGAGAAUGGCCUGCUUGGACCAUCACUUUU
rfam:Lupinus angustifolius cultivar Tanjil chromosome LG18, whole genome shotgun sequence.